rnacentral:piRNA from 1 species
UGGGAAAGUUAGGUCUCCAGGUGAUACGA